GAUCGGACCGAUCUCUUAGGGGACUCGCGUUUUCACACAACACCCUUUUAAAAAGUGUAGAAUGACCUCAUUUAUGCGAUCAAUACAACUUUCAACAACGGAUCUCUUGGCUCUCGCAUCGAUGAAGAACGCAGCGAAAUGCGAUACGUAAUGUGAAUUGCAGAAUUCAGUGAAUCAUCGAAUCUUUGAACGCACCUUGCGCCCCUUGGUAUUCCGAGGGGCACACCCGUUUGAGCGUCGUGAAAUUCUCAACCUCCUCGGUUUCUUCUGGAGACUGAAGGAGGCUUGGACUUUGGAGGCCUUUGCUGGCGUGUCUCGCCAGCUCCUCUUAAAUGAAUUAGCGUGGUCCUCUUUGCCGAACCUCGACACGUGAUAAGAUGCUUCCGUGUCUCGGUUUCUGGCUCUGUUGCUUUUGGGACCCGCUUCUAACCGUCUGGACCUUGCGUCGAGACAAUGUUCGAGCUCGUAUCCCUUCUUGGGAAACCCCCUCGACCCCACGAACCCUUGGCCUCAAAUCGGGUGAGAC
rnacentral:misc_RNA from 1 species